GUCUAGAUGUUUCCCGUCCAAAACAUCUUUUAGUUUAAAAACGCAGACAUAUUGUUUACAAAAAUACAAUUUAAUAUACAGGUGAAAUUGUUACAAAAAAGGCCCAUUGCGCGUUUGGUGGCCCUUCCCAGGAAGAUGCCGGUGAGGAAGACCAGGCCCGUGGCGCUCAUCAAUAUCACAAGGAAGAAUUUGCGCGCAGGCGAGGCGACCACCUGUUGCACGAGCUGCUGCACAUCCUCGGGCGGCAGCGCCAGCGUGUCGUCCGCGUUCCGGAACAUCUCGAUGCGCCGUUGCAGUUUCUCACGGCAGUCCGCUUCCAGCGAGUUCGGCGUGUCUUUCAGCAGCGUUCUCAGGCAACUCAGUUCUAGAAGAGGGAUACGACCUAUAAUAUGGCUUAACUCACUUUAGGAGUCUGGUCGAGAAUAUUACAAAAAUAUUAUACAAUUAUUGGAAGUUACACAUGGAUUGAAAGGUAUUAAGAUAUAGCUGAUACAAUAUAUAGUGGAUCUUAUAAGAGAUAUUCGUCACAAAAGUUGAUAUCAGAACUUUUAUUUCUUGUUUUAUAUAUUUAUUGUUAAUAAUAUUAUUAUAAUUUAUGGCGCAAAAGUGAAGUUGUCACGAACAACAUCAUUAUUUCCGAGAUCAAUGCUUACUGCAUUGUAAUU